GUGUGUCGCCGAAGCCACUAUGUUUUCUCCGUUUUUAUCUAUAAGCACCUUCAUAGCUCAGUUGGUAGAGCACAUGACUUUAAGAAGUUCCUGAAACGCUGUGGUCCAAAGGACGCUGGUUCAACUCCAGCUCCAAACACCAGAUUUCAUUGGUGUAUGCACUGUUCAACCUUUUUCAUUGACCAUGUUGGUUCAAUAGUUAUGUUGGCAAAGUGUGUCGCCGAAGCCACUAUGUUUUCUGCGUUUUUAUCUAUAAGCACCUUCAUAGCUCAGUUGGUAGAGCACAUGACUUUAAGAAGUUCCUGAAACGCUGUGGUCCAAAGGACGCUGGUUCAACUCCUGCUCCAAACACCAGAUUUCAUUUGUAUAUGCACUGUUCAUCCUUUUUCAUUGACCAGGUGGCUUGAUUGUUGUUUUGGCAAAGCGUGUCGCCGAAGCCACUAUGUUUUCUGCGUUUUUAUCUAUAAGCACCUUCAUAGCUCAGUUGGUAGAGCACAUGACUGUAAGAAGUUCCUGAAACGCUGUGGUCCAAAGGUCGCUGGUUCAACUCCUACUCCAAACACCAGAUUUCAAUGGUCUAUGCACUGUUCAACCUUUUUCAUUGACCAGGUGGCUUGAUUGUUGUUUUGGCAAAGUGUGUCGCCGAAGCCACUAUGUUUUCUGCGUUUUUAUCUAUAAGCACCUUCAUAGCUCUGUUGGUAGAGCACAUGACUUUAAGAAGUUCCUGAAACGCUUUGGUCCAAAGGUCGCUGGCUCAAGUCCAGCUCCACGCAACAGAUUUCAUUUGUAUAUGCACUGUUCAUCCUUUUUCAUUGACCAGGUGGCUUGAUUGUUGUUUUGGCAAAGUGUGUCGCCGAAGCCACUAUGUUUUCUGCGUUUUUAUCUAUAAGCACCUUCAUAGCUCAUUUGGUAGAGCACAUGACUUUAAGAAGUUCUAGAAACGCUCUGGUUCAAAGGUCACUGGUUCAACUCCUGCUCCAAACACCAGAUUUCAUUGGUCUAUGCACUGUUCAACCUUUUUCAUUGACCAGGUGGCUUGAUUGUUGUGUUGGCAAAGUGUGUCGCCGAAGCCACUAUGUUUUCUGCGUUUUUAUCUAUAAGCACCUUCAUAGCUCAGUUGGUAGAGCACAUGACUUUAAGAAGUUCCUGAAACGCUGUGGUCCAAAGGACGCUGGUUCAACUCCUGCUCCAAACACCAGAUUUCAUUUGUAUAUGCACUGUUCAUCCUUUUUCAUUGACCAGGUGGCUUGAUUGUUGUUUUGGCAAAGUGUGUCGCCGAAGCCACUAUGUUUUCUGCGUUUUUAUCUAUAAGCACCUUCAUAGCUCAGUUGGUAGAGCACAUGACUUUAAGAAGUUCUAGAAACGCUCUGGUUCAAAGGUCGCUGGUUCAACUCCUGCUCCAAACACCAGAUUUCAUUGGUCUAUGCACUGUUCAACCUUUUUCAUUGACCAGGUGGCUUGAUUGUUGUGUUGGCAAAGUGUGUCGCCGAAGCCACUAUGUUUUCUCCGUUUUCAUCUAUAAGCACCUUCAUAGCUCAGUUGGUAGAGCACAUGACUGUAAGAAGUUCCUGAAACGCUGUGGUCCAAAGGUCCCUGGUUCAACUCCAGCUCCAAGCACCAGAUUUCAUUUGUAUAUGCACUGUUCAUCCUUUUUCAUUGACCAUGUUGGUUCAAUAGUUAUGUUGGCAAAGUGUGUCGCCGAAGCCACUAUGUUUUCUGCGUUUUUAUCUAUAAGCACCUUCAUAGCUCAGUUGGUAGAGCACAUGACUUUAAGAAUUUCCUGAAACGCUGUGGUCCAAAGGUCGCUGGUUCAACUCCAGCUCCAAGCACCAGAUUUCAUUUGUAUAUGCACUGUUCAUCCUUUUUCAUUGACCAGGUGGCUUGAUUGUUGUUUUGGCAAAGUGUGUCGCCGAAGCCACUAUGUUUUCUGCGUUUUUAUCUAUAAGCACCUUCAUAGCUCAGUUGGUAGAGCACAUGACUUUAAGAAGUUCCUGAAACGCUGUGGUCCAAAGGACGCUGGUUCAACUCCAGCUCCAAACACCAGAUUUCAUUGGUGUAUGCACUGUUCAACCUUUUUCAUUGACCAUGUUGGUUCAAUAGUUAUGUUGGCAAAGUGUGUCGCCGAAGCCACUAUGUUUUCUGCGAUUUUAUCUAUAAGCACCUUCAUAGCUCAGUUGGUAGAGCACAUGACUUUAAGAAGUUCCUGAAAUGCUGUGGUCCAAAGGUCGCUGGUUCAACUCCAGCUCCAAGCACCGGAUUUCAUUUGUAUAUGCACUGUUCAUCCUUUUUCAUUGACCAGGUGGCUUGAUUGUUGUUUUGGCAAAGUUUGUCGCCGAAGCCACUAUGUUUUCUGCGUUUUUAUCUAUAAGCACCUUCAUAGCUCAGUUGGUAGAGCACAUGACUUUAAGAAGUUCCUGAAAUGCUGUGGUCCAAAGGUCGCUGGUUCAACUCCAGCUCCAAGCACCGGAUUUCAUUUGUAUAUGCACUGUUCAUCCUUUUUCAUUGACCAGGUGGCUUGAUUGUUGUUUUGGCAAAGCGUGUCGCCGAAGCCACUAUGUUUUCUGCGUUUUUAUCUAUAAGCACCUUCAUAGCUCAGUUGGUAGAGCACAUAACUGUAAGAAGUUCCUGAAACGCUGUGGUCCAAAGGUCGCUGGUUCAACUCCUACUCCAAACACCAGAUUUCAAUGGUCUAUGCACUGUUCAACCUUUUUCAUUGACCAGGUGGCUUGAUUGUUGUUUUGGCAAAGUGUGUCGCCGAAGCCACUAUGUUUUCUGCGUUUUUAUCUAUAAGCACCUUCAUAGCUCAGUUGGUAGAGCACAUGACUUUAAGAAGUUCCUGAAACGCUGUGGUCCAAAGGUCGCUAGUUCAACUCCAGCUCCAAGCACCAGAUUUCAUUUGUAUGUGCACUGUUCAUCCUUUUUCAUUGACCAAGGGGCUUGAUUGUUGUUUUGGCAAAGUGUGUCGCCGAAGCCACUAUGUUUUCUGCGUUUUUAUCUAUAAGCACCUUCAUAGCUCAGUUGGUAGAGCACAUGACUGUAAGAAGUUCCUGAAACGCUGUGGUCCAAAGGUCGCUGGUUCAACUCCUACUCCAAACACCAGAUUUCAAUGGUCUAUGCACUGUUCAACCUUUUUCAUUGACCAGGUGGCUUGAUUGUUGUUUUGGCAAAGUGUGUCGCCGAAGCCACUAUGUUUUCUGCGUUUUUAUCUAUAAGCACCUUCAUAGCUCAGUUGGUAGAGCACAUGACUUUAAGAAGUUCCUGAAACGCUGUGGUCCAAAGGACGCUGGUUCAACUCCAGCUCCAAACACCAGAUUUCAUUGGUGUAUGCACUGUUCAACCUUUUUCAUUGACCAUGUUGGUUCAAUAGUUAUGUUGGCAAAGUGUGUCGCCGAAGCCACUAUGUUUUCUGCGUUUUUAUCUAUAAGCACCUUCAUAGCUCAGUUGGUAGAGCACAUGACUUUAAGAAUUUCCUGAAACGCUGUGGUCCAAAGGUCGCUGGUUCAACUCCAGCUCCAAGCACCAGAUUUCAUUUGUAUAUGCACUGUUCAUCCUUUUUCAUUGACCAGGUGGCUUGAUUGUUGUUUUGGCAAAGUGUGUCGCCGAAGCCACUAUGUUUUCUGCGUUUUUAUCUAUAAGCACCUUCAUAGCUCAGUUGGUAGAGCACAUGACUUUAAGAAGUUCCUGAAACGCUGUGGUCCAAAGGACGCUGGUUCAACUCCAGCUCCAAACACCAGAUUUCAUUGGUGUAUGCACUGUUCAACCUUUUUCAUUGACCAUGUUGGUUCAAUAGUUAUGUUGGCAAAGUGUGUCGCCGAAGCCACUAUGUUUUCUGCGAUUUUAUCUAUAAGCACCUUCAUAGCUCAGUUGGUAGAGCACAUGACUUUAAGAAGUUCCUGAAAUGCUGUGGUCCAAAGGUCGCUGGUUCAACUCCAGCUCCAAGCACCGGAUUUCAUUUGUAUAUGCACUGUUCAUCCUUUUUCAUUGACCAGGUGGCUUGAUUGUUGUUUUGGCAAAGUGUGUCGCCGAAGCCACUAUGUUUUCUGCGUUUUUAUCUAUAAGCACCUUCAUAGCUCAGUUGGUAGAGCACAUGACUUUAAGAAGUUCCUGAAAUGCUGUGGUCCAAAGGUCGCUGGUUCAACUCCAGCUCCAAGCACCGGAUUUCAUUUGUAUAUGCACUGUUCAUCCUUUUUCAUUGACCAGGUGGCUUGAUUGUUGUUUUGGCAAAGCGUGUCGCCGAAGCCACUAUGUUUUCUGCGUUUUUAUCUAUAAGCACCUUCAUAGCUCAGUUGGUAGAGCACAUAACUGUAAGAAGUUCCUGAAACGCUGUGGUCCAAAGGUCGCUGGUUCAACUCCUACUCCAAACACCAGAUUUCAAUGGUCUAUGCACUGUUCAACCUUUUUCAUUGACCAGGUGGCUUGAUUGUUGUUUUGGCAAAGUGUGUCGCCGAAGCCACUAUGUUUUCUGCGUUUUUAUCUAUAAGCACCUUCAUAGCUCAGUUGGUAGAGCACAUGACUUUAAGAAGUUCCUGAAACGCUGUGGUCCAAAGGUCGCUAGUUCAACUCCAGCUCCAAGCACCAGAUUUCAUUUGUAUGUGCACUGUUCAUCCUUUUUCAUUGACCAGGUGGCUUGAUUGUUGUUUUGGCAAAGUGUGUCGCCGAAGCCACUAUGUUUUCUGCGUUUUUAUCUAUAAGCACCUUCAUAGCUCAGUUGGUAGAGCACAUGACUGUAAGAAGUUCCUGAAACGCUGUGGUCCAAAGGUCGCUGGUUCAACUCCUACUCCAAACACCAGAUUUCAAUGGUCUAUGCACUGUUCAACCUUUUUCAUUGACCAGGUGGCUUGAUUGUUGUUUUGGCAAAGUGUGUCGCCGAAGCCACUAUGUUUUCUGCGUUUUUAUCUAUAAGCACCUUCAUAGCUCAGUUGGUAGAGCACAUGACUUUAAGAAGUUCCUGAAACGCUGUGGUCCAAAGGUCGCUAGUUCAACUCCAGCUCCAAGCACCAGAUUUCAUUUGUAUGUGCACUGUUCAUCCUUUUUCAUUGACCAGGUGGCUUGAUUGUUGUUUUGGCAAAGUGUGUCGCCGAAGCCACCAUGUUUUCUGCGUUUUUAUCUAUAAGCACCUUCAUAUCUCAGUUGGUAGAGCACAUGACUGUAAGAAGUUCCUGAAACGCUGUGGUCCAAAGGUCGCUGGUUCAACUCCUGCUCCAAACACCAGAUUUCAAUGCUCUAUGCACUGUUCAACCUUUUUCAUUGACCAGGUGGCUUGAUUGUUGUUUUGGCAAAGUGUGUCGCCGAAGCCACUAUGUUUUCUGCGUUUUUAUCUAUAAGCACCUUCAUAGCUCAGUUGGUAGAGCACAUGACUUUAAGAAGUUCCUGAAACGCUGUGGUCCAAAGGUCGCUGGUUCAACUCCUGCUCCAAGCAACAGAUUUCAUUUGUAUAUGCACUGUUCAUCCUUUUUCAUUGACCAGGUGGCUUGAUUGUUGUUUUGGCAAAGUGUGUCGCCGAAGCCACUAUGUUUUCUGCGUUUUCAUCUAUAAGCACCUUCAUAGCUCAGUUGGUAGAGCACAUGACUGUAAGAAGUUCCUGAAACGCUGUGGUCCAAAGGUCCCUGGUUCAACUCCAGCUCCAAGCACCAGAUUUCAUUUGUAUAUGCACUGUUCAUCCUUUUUCAUUGACCAGGUGGCUUGAUUGUUGUGUUGGCAAAGUGUGUCGCCGAAGCCACUAUGUUUUCUGCGUUUUUAUCUAUAAGCACCUUCAUAGCUCAGUUGGUAGAGCACAUGACUUUAAGAAGUUCCUGAAACCCUGUGGUCCAAAGGACGCUGGUUCAAUUCCUGCUCCAAACACCAGAUUUCAUUGGUCUAUGCACUGUUGAACCUUUUUCAUUGACCAUGUUGGUUCAAUAGUUAUGUUGGCAAAGUGUGUCGCCGAAGCCACUAUGUUUUCUGCGAUUUUAUCUAUAAGUACCUUCAUAGCUCAGUUGGUAGAGCACAUGACUUUAAGAAGUUCCUGAAACGCUGUGGUCCAAAGGUCGCUGGUUCAACUCCAGCUCCAAGCAACAGAUUUCAUUGGUCUAUGCACUGUUCAACCUUUUUCAUUGACCAUGUUGGUUCAAUAGUUAUGUUGGCAAAGUGUGUCGCCGAAGCCACUAUGUUUUCUGCGUUUUUAUCUAUAAGCACCUUCAUAGCUCAGUUGGUAGAGCACAUGACUUUAAGAAGUUCCUGAAAUGCUGUGGUCCAAAGGUCGCUGGUUCAACUCCAGCUCCAAGCACCAGAUUUCAUUUGUAUAUGCACUGUUCAUCCUUUUUCAUUGACCAGGUGGCUUGAUUGUUGUUUUGGCAAAGUGUGUCGCAGAAGCCACUAUGUUUUCUGCGAUUUUAUCUAUAAGUACCUUCAUAGCUCAGUUGGUAGAGCACAUGACUUGAAGAAGUUCCUGAAACGCUGUGGUCCAAAGGUCCCUGGUUCAACUCCAGCUCCAAGC